CACGUAGGCACCAAGCGUUGUCCGGAGUUACUGGGCGUAAAGGGCGCGUAGGUGGCCCGGUCAGUCUUUGGUGAAAGCGCGGGGCUCAACCCUGCGUCGGCCAGGGAUACUGCCGCGGCUCGAGCACUGUAGAGGCAGGCGGAAUUCCGGGUGUAGCGGUGGAAUGCGUAGAGAUCCGGAAGAACACCGGUGGCGAAGGCGGCAUCCUGGACCGGCAUUGACGCUGAGGA
rnacentral:rRNA from 1 species